GACGAACCGUGCGAACGUUAUUCGGAAUCACUGGGCUUAAAGCGCGUGUAGGCGGGUCGGCACGUCGGUCGCUGAAAUCCCCCGGCUCAACCGGGGAAGGGGCGCCGAUACGGCCGGCCUGGAGGGACGUAGGGGGGGCUGGAACUUCCGGUGGAGCGGUGAAAUGCGUUGAGAUCGGAAGGAACGCCCGUGGCGAAAGCGAGCCCCUGGACGUCUACUGACGCUGAUGCGCGAAAGCUAGGGGAGCAAACGGG
rnacentral:rRNA from 1 species